UGGUUAGAAACUGUUGAUCCUCGGAAUCAUAAAAGCUAAAAUGCAAGACAAAGGAAGGUUUUGGAAAGUGUGAGAACUGUGUUCUCGUGCAUGAGCCUUUGUCUUAAUGCCAAAGCAGUUACAGAGGGCUACAGCCGGCAGCCAGGAGGCAGCGGGAGUUGCUGGGGCCUCGCUGGCUUCGCGCCAUCGCAGGAAGAGGAACCCUGGCAGAAGACACACAUAGGGCAGACAGCAUAGGACAGAACAGCAGAGCACGGUGCAGCUGAG
rnacentral:lncRNA from 1 species